UGGGGAAUUUUACGCAAUGGGGGAAACCCUGACGUAGCGACACCGCGUGAGCGAAGAAGCCUUUUGGGGUGUAAAGCUCUGUCAGCUGGAACGAACACAAUGACGGUACCAGCAGAGGAAGCAUCGGCUAACUACGUGCCAGCAGCCGCGGCAAGACGUAGGAUGCAAGCGUUGUCCGGAUUCAUUGGGCGUAAAGAGUUCGUAGGUGGUCUGUUAAGUUUGGUGUUAAAGAGCGGGGCCCAACCCCGAUAGUGCACUGAAUACUGGCAGACUUGAGUGCGGUAGAGGUAAGUGGAAUUCCAAGUGUAGCGGUGAAAUGCAUAGAUAUUUGGAAGAACACCGGUGGCGUAAGCGACUUACUGGGCCGUAACUGACACUGAGGAACGAAAGCCGGGGUAGCGAAUG
rnacentral:rRNA from 1 species